UGGGGAAUAUUGGACAAUGGGCGCAAGCCUGAUCCAGCCAUGCCGCGUGAGUGAUGAAGGCCCUAGGGUUGUAAAGCUCUUUCGCCAGGGACGAUAAUGACGGUACCUGGAUAAGAAGCCCCGGCUAACUUCGUGCCAGCAGCCGCGGUAAUACGAAGGGGGCUAGCGUUGUUCGGAAUCACUGGGCGUAAAGCGCACGUAGGCGGAUCUUUAAGUCAGGGGUGAAUCCCGAGGCUCAACCUCGGAACUGCCUUUGAUACUGGAGGUCUCGAGUUCGGGANAGGUGAGUGGAACUGCGAGUGUAGAGGUGAAAUUCGUAGAUAUUCGCAAGAACACCAGUGGCGAAGGCGGCUCACUGGCCCGAUACUGACGCUGAGGUGCGAAAGCGUGGGGAGCAAAACAGGAUUAGAUACCCUGGUAGUCCACGCCGUAAAACGAUGGAUGCUAGCCCGUUGGGGAGCUUGCUCUUCAGUGGCGCAGCUAACGCUUUAAGCAUCCCGCCU
rnacentral:rRNA from 1 species